UCUUCAUUAUCCAAAACAGAAAGUAACCAAAUGUAACCCUAAAGCCCUUCAAAGAACAGCUCAUCCACACCUAUACACAACGUAAUUCCCUCUCUCUCUCUCUCCCAUUUCAGGCAAAGUCACAUUUCCUUUACCUAAAUACCAGUUCUUUUAUUGCCAUUUUAGUGCAAGAAUUACUUUUCCAGACCCAUGCCUAUCUCUUUUUUCCUAUUUCAUGCUCCCAAACAAACCCAAAUCUUGAACCAUCAGAAGGGGUUCACUAUUAUGAGCAAAGGUUGAAGCUCUGUUGACCAAAUCACGUGGAGAUCAAGCUCAAUUGUGGCUCCAACUUUCAAAAUUUGAAUGGACAUCUCAAUCUUCAAACGGCUCUUCCAAAUUCCCUCUCAAUCAAGCUCAAACCCUAAAUAUUUGGGGUUCUAUAAAUGGAACACUAUUCCUCAUUUCUUACAAUGGUUUUUGGACACUGAAACAACUGAUUUUUCAAUUCACUUAACUUAAAACAAGAAAAAUUUCUUGAGUUCACUAAGUUUAAAAAAUUUCUUUUGAUUCAUCUCUUACGUUGAGUUGAAAUCAAAGGUGAUCAAUUCGAAUCUUGUCGCCCCCGUCGCUGCAUCGGAAAAAGAAGAUUCAUGAGAGCUUUAGCAAUAAUUUGGUAUGAAGAACGUUACACCAUCAAAUACAAGAUUGUUCUCCAAAACCUUAGAAACUGAAAAGAUAUUGGUGCACCCAGUUGUAAACAAGGUUUGGAUUCUUUUCAGCUGGUACUUUUAUUUUAUUCGCUAUAAUUUGCACAAAUUAUUUGUCUUAAUUAGAAUGAAGAGU